UGGGGAAUUUUGGACAAUGGGCGAAAGCCUGAUCCAGCAAUGCCGCGUGUGUGAAGAAGGCCUUCGGGUUGUAAAGCACCUUUGUCCGGAAAGAAAUCCUUGGCUCUAAUACAGUCGGGGGAUGACGGUACCGGAAGAAUAAGCACCGGCUAACUACGUGCCAGCAGCCGCGGUAAUACGUAGGGUGCAAGCGUUAAUCGGAAUUACUGGGCGUAAAGCGUGCGCAGGCGGUUUGCUAAGACCGAUGUGAAAUCCCCGGGCUCAACCUGGGAACUGCAUUGGUGACUGGCAGGCUAGAGUAUGGCAGAGGGGGGUAGAAUUCCACGUGUAGCAGUGAAAUGCGUAGAGAUGUGGAGGAAUACCGAUGGCGAAGGCAGCCCCCUGGGCCAAUACUGACGCUCAUGCACGAAAGCGUGGGGAGCAAACAGGAUUAGAUACCCUGGUAGUCCACGCCCUAAACGAUGUCAACUAGUUGUUGGGGAUUCAUUUCCUUAGUAACGUAGCUAACGCGUGAAGUUGACCGCCUGGGGAGUACGGUCGCAAGAUUAAAACUUAAAUGAAUUGACGGGGUCAUAGCUGUUUCCU
rnacentral:rRNA from 1 species